AUGGCCUCCAACCAGGACAAGGCAAGCUACCGCGCCGGCGAGGCCAAGGCCCACACCGAGGAGAAGGCCGGACAGGUGACCGGCGCGGCCAAGGACGAGGCGUGCGACGCCAAGGACCGGGCGUCGGGCGCGGCGGGGCAAGCGACGGGGAAGGGGCAGGGCGCCGUGGAGGCCACGAAGCAGAAGGCCGGCGAGGCGGGGCAGAAGACGUCCGAGACGGCGCAGGCCGGCAAGGACCGGGCCGCCGAGGGCAAGGACCGGACCGGCAGCUACCUCGGCCACGCGACCGAGGGGACCAAGCAGAAGGCCUCCGAGGCGACGGGGUACACGCAGGACAGGGCUUCCGACGCGGCGCAGUACACCAAGGACUCCGCCGUCGCCGGCAAGGACAAGACCGGCAGCGUCCUCAGCCAGGCCGGCGAGCAGGUGAAGAACGCGGUGGUCGGCGCGAAAGACGCGGUGGCGAGCACGCUGGGGAUGGGGGGAGACAACACCUCCAGCGCAACCAAGGACGCGAGCACCACCGAGACCAUCACCAAGAGCCGUCACUAG
rnacentral:rRNA from 1 species